rnacentral:rRNA from 1 species
CGAGUGGCGACGGGUGAGUAACACGUGGGUGAUCUGCCCUGCACUUUGGGAUAAGCCUGGGAAACUGGGUCUAAUACCGAAUAUGACCGCAUUCUUCAUGGGGUGUGGUGGAAAGCUUUUGCGGUGUGGGAUGGGCCCGCGGCCUAUCAGCUUGUUGGUGGGGUAAUGGCCUACCAAGGCGACGACGGGUAGCCGGCCUGAGAGGGUGACCGGCCACACUGGGACUGAGAUACGGCCCAGACUCCUACGGGAGGCAGCAGUGGGGAAUAUUGCACAAUGGGCGCAAGCCUGAUGCAGCGACGCCGCGUGAGGGAUGACGGCCUUCGGGUUGUAGACCUCUUUCAGCACAGACGAAGCGCAAGUGACGGUAUGUGCAGAAGAAGGACCGGCCAACUACGUGCCAGCAGCCGCGGUAAUACGUAGGGUCCGAGCGUUGUCCGGAAUUACUGGGCGUAAAGAGCUCGUAGGUGGUUUGUCGCGUUGUUCGUGAAAACUCACAGCUUAACUGUGGGCGUGCGGGCGAUACGGGCAGACUUGAGUACUGCAGGGGAGACUGGAAUUCCUGGUGUAGCGGUGGAAUGCGCAGAUAUCAGGAGGAACACCGGUGGCGAAGGCGGGUCUCUGGGCAGUAACUGACGCUGAGGAGCGAAAGCGUGGGGAGCGAACAGGAUUAGAUACCCUGGUAGUCCACGCCGUAAACGGUGGGUACUAGGUGUGGGUUUCCUUCCUUGGGGUCCGUGCCGUAGCUAACGCAUUAAGUACCCCGCCUGGGGAGUACGGCCGCAAGGCUAAAACUCAAAGAAAUUGACGGGGGCCCGCACAAGCGGCGGAGCAUGUGGAUUAAUUCGAUGCAACGCGAAGAACCUUACCUGGGUUUGACAUGCACAGGACGCCAGUAGAGAUAUUGGUUCCCUUGUGGCCUGUGUGCAGGUGGUGCAUGGCUGUCGUCAGCUCGUGUCGUGAGAUGUUGGGUUAAGUCCCGCAACGAGCGCAACCCUUGUCCUAUGUUGCCAGCGGGUUAUGCCGGGGACUCGUAGGAGACUGCCGGGGUCAACUCGGAGGAAGGUGGGGAUGACGUCAAGUCAUCAUGCCCCUUAUGUCCAGGGCUUCACACAUGCUACAAUGGCCGGUACAAAGGGCUGCGAUGCCGUGAGGUGGAGCGAAUCCUUGUAAAGCCGGUCUCAGUUCGGAUCGGGGUCUGCAACUCGACCCCGUGAAGUCGGAGUCGCUAUAAUCGCAAGAUCAGCAACG